AGUCAAGAGUCUUUGACGCCAAUUUUGGUGAGCGGAUUUCUUUUGCCUUUUGAAAGGUGAAAGACAUG
rfam:Sinorhizobium sp. RAC02 plasmid pBSY16_1, complete sequence.